GAGUUUGAUCCUGGCUCAGGGUGAACGCUGGCGGCGCGCUUAAUGCAUGCAAGUCGAGCGUGAUCGUGGCUUCGGCCACAAUGAUAAAGCGGCAGACGGCUGAGUAACGCGUGAGUAAUCUGCCCUCCGGUGGGGUAUAACCUCGGGAAACUGAGGAUAAUCCCGCAUACGACCUGCAUCCCUUGGGGUGCAGAUGAAAGGCUUCGGGCGCCAGAGGAGGGGCUCGCGCCCUAUCAGUAGUUGGUAGGGUAACGGCUACCAAGCCUAUGACGGGUAGCUGGUCUGAGAGGACGGCCAGCCAGAGGGGGACUGAGACACGCCCCCCACUCCUACGGGAGGCAGCAGCAGGGAAUCUUGGGCAAUGGGCGAAAGCCUGACCCAGCGACGCCGCGUGGAGGAAGAAGGCUUUCGGGUCGUAAACUCCUUUUCUAGGGGAAGAGAUAGGACGGUACCUUGGGAAUAAGCCCCGGCUAACUACGUGCCAGCAGCCGCGGUAACACGUAGGGGGCGAGCGUUACCCGGAUUUAUUGGGCGUAAAGGGCGCGUAGGCGGUUCGGCAAGUCUCCUGUGAAAGCUCCCGGCUUAACUGGGAGAGGUCGGGGGAAACUGCCGGGCUAGAGGGCAGCAGAGGAGAGUAGAAUUCCCGGUGUAGCGGUGAAAUGCGUAGAUAUCGGGAGGAAUACCAGUGGCGAAGGCGGCUCUCUGGGCUGUUCCUGACGCUGAGGCGCGAAAGCGUGGGUAGCAAACCGGAUUAGAUACCCUGGUAGUC
rnacentral:rRNA from 1 species